rnacentral:lncRNA from 1 species
GCUGACCGUGAUCCUGACAUAAGUGAAGACAUGGACGACAGGUUUAGAUUUGAAAGUGAUUUUGAUCGAAAAUUUUUGAGAGUAUAUACAAAUGACAGGCCACAUGGGAGCAGACAAUGUGCGGAUGAGGAAGGCGUCUCAGAAGAGCCCAAAACGCAGAUCUCAGAAGAGCCAAAAACGCAGAUCUCAGAAGAGCCAAAAACGCAGAUCUCCUGUGCUGAAAAUAAAAGUGUUCGAGAUAAUGGACCACCCAAAUGUGCUGAUGUCAAUGUCACCAGUCCCUUCGCAGGCAUGCUCUUUGGAGGUGAAGAUCGAGAAGUAGCCAAGAAGAAGAAAGAGAAGUAUAGACAAGAACUACUAGAGCAGAUAGCUGAGCAGCAGCAGAAGAAGAGACGAGAAAAAGAUUUAGCAUUCGGAAUUACAACUUCUGGAGACUUUUCCCGUGAUAUAUUUUAUAUAUAAUGUACAUAAAAGCCCUGAUUCUUGAUUUUUAAUACAAUGUAUAGAAUUAUUUUUGCAAUUUAGCUAUGGGUGGUAAUGAACUCUUGAUUGAGCUACCACAUGUGCAUUAAAAUGAGCUUGCCAUAAGAGGUGGUGAAUUAAAGUGAGACAGUACACUGUCCCAGCAUCCUCCACUGUCAGCGCUGUGGUGAGACAAGUCCUGGUGAAGACCUGCUGUAGCUCACUGUGCCGGCUGCCGGGUACGGCAGGGUCCAGGCCAAGCUGCUGAGCACUCUCGUCUGCAGGACAUUUCCCAUGGGAGCGAAGGGUUCGAGACCAUCGUGAGCCACAAUACAUGUUACGUUGUUCUGUCUCCAUUUCAUUCUUAUGCUGAUAGAAGCACACACUCACUCAGUUAUUAAUUUAUCUCAUUUCACUAUUUCUUGACACAAAUAAAGUUCUAUUUUUAUU